UAUUUGGAGAAGAUAGCAGUUAGUGAAGGAGCUUUGAAGAAUUUCUACAAGAGGUAAUAUUUGUAUACCCAUCGACCCUGAACACUGAUGAGUUUGAUCUUACCACUGUGCCAACUGUUGCCUAGAACCUAGAAGAACUUAAUACAGCAGACAUAGAAGUAGAUAGUGAAACUGGUACAUGAUAUUCAAUCUUUACUGAAUAUUGUGAUUAACCAAUGUUGCGUUAGGAUUACUGAAUAUUGUGAUUAACCAAUGUUGUUAUAAUCUUUUGCUUUAUGACAGACUGGGAUAGGAUAACUGAAUACAAAUUGUGAUAUUUGUUUGGAUUGAUGGAAUUUUGAACUUUGUUGAGUUUUUGUUUUUUGGCUUUUCAUUUCAUUGAUAGGAACUGAGUCCAUGAAUUUGGAGGUAUAAGAUCGAAUGCCCGUGUGACAAUUUUUGAGAUUUGAAGUCAAGUGAGUAAUCAGAUCCGACUUUUUGUAAAUCAUUGUUGUUUCUGUUGUUUGUUCUGUUGAGAGAAGAUUGUUGUUUGAAUAUUGUUGGAAGUGCAUUUCUUUGUACAGGUGUUAAAGUAAAAAUUUUUUGUAUUGUUGUGGUAAUGUUGUUAUGUUGCCAAAUUUUUUUCUAAAAUAUCAGAGUUAUAAAGUUAGUUAUAGGUUAAAAUAGGUAAUGUUCCUUAGUUUAGUAUUGAAAUUUGGGAUCAUUACAAUGACUAUUGUGCAGCUAUGGAAGUUGUUUAUGGGUUGAAUUCAUUUCUUUCGUUAUUUAUAAAUUGCUUAUACUAACACAACUUAUAUUUAUUUGUUUAUACUCUCAAUGACAUCGCUCGCGCGAGUAUAGGGAGGUUCUGGAUA